CUCAGGGUGCUGGCAAUGUACCAUUCCCUGGGAAAAGAAUGCGACCCUCUCCUGAAGAAGGAACGGUCUUCUAACACCAAGGUGGAACAACUUCCCGUGGCUGAGGAGAAAUAUCAGAAGAUGGCCCAGAAUCUGAUUGAGAGCAGCCUCCUCUGAAAGAACAUGAUGUGAAGCAGUUUAAGUGCUUUACUUCAGGCAAGAAAUGUCUGGCACAAUGAAGAAGCCUUCAGUCGUGAUAUGGGAAGAGGAGACAGAAAUGUCAGAAGAAUAUGAAAGAAAAGUGCCUCUUAAACAUAAGAAUAGCUUUUUAACACUCAGUAAGAGGAACUGGGAAGUUUAUAAACAGUCUUCUGUUCUGUAGUGUGUUGGAUUGUAUAUACCUGCGUUAACAUUUUAUCCCUGUAAACAUUUGCAAUUCAACUCUAAGUGAA